UACGAAGGGGGCUAGCGUUGCUCGGAAUCACUGGGCGUAAAGGGUGCGUAGGCGGGUCUUUAAGUCAGGGGUGAAAUCCUGGAGCUCAACUCCAGAACUGCCUUUGAUACUGAGGAUCUUGAGUUCGGGAGAGGUGAGUGGAACUGCGAGUGUAGAGGUGAAAUUCGUAGAUAUUCGCAAGAACACCAGUGGCGAAGGCGGCUCACUGGCCCGAUGCUGACGCUGAGGCACGAAAGCGUGGGGAGCAAACAGG
rnacentral:rRNA from 1 species